UACGGGGGGGGCAAGCGUUGUUCGGAAUUACUGGGCGUAAAGGCUCGUAGGUGGCCAACUAAGUCAGACGUGAAAUCCCUCGGCUUAACCGGGGGAACUGCGUCUGAUACUGGAUGGCUAGAGUUUGGGAGAGGGAUGCGGAAUUCCAGGUGUGAGCGGUGAAAUGCGUAGAUAUCUGGAGGAACACCGGUGGCGAAGGCGGCAUCCUGGACCAACACUGACGCUGAGGAGCGAAAGCCAGGGGAGCAAACGGG
rnacentral:rRNA from 1 species